rnacentral:rRNA from 1 species
CAGUAGCCGCGGUAAUACGGAAGGUCCAGGUGUUAUCCGGAUUUAUUGGGUUUAAAGGGAGCGUAGGCCGCGGGUUAAGUGUGUUGUGAAAAGCAGUCGCCCAACGUCUGCCUUGCAGCGCAAACUGUCCUGCUUGAGUGCGCACAACGCAGGCGGAAUUCGUCGUGUAGCGGUGAAAUGCUUAGAUAUGACGAAGAACUCCGAUUGCGAAGGCAGCUUGCGGGAGCGCAACUGACGCUGAGGCUCGAAAGCGUGGGGAGCAAACAGGAUUAGAUACCCCUGUAGUCCCUGUCUCUUAUAC